rnacentral:lncRNA from 1 species
AUUCUAGAGACGGAGUGUGUAAAACCUGUGACGCAGUUGAUGAUAAUAUUAAGGGAAUGUAUCAGUUGAUGGCUAAAUGGGAAGAAUUGAAUAAAUCUAUGGGACCUGCAUACAAGUUGCAUGGUCAGAUUAAAGAUAUAAAGAAGCUUCUGGAUAUCUACGAAGCUGCACUCAGCAGCUCCUGAUCCAGCUGUGAAUACCUGUAAAGGGAAGCAGCUCCUGAUCUAGCUGUGAAUACCUGUAAAGGGAAGCAGCUCCUGUUCUAGCUGUGAAUACCAGUAAAGAGAAGCAGUUUCGAUGUUGAAACCUCUAGUGCAAAUUUUUUUAUUUAAGAACGAAGUUAAAUAAUCUAAAAAAAUUGUUCUUCAGAAUUAUGCAUAUUGCAUAACGAUAUUUGCAAAGAAACUGCACUCGCCUCAAAAUCCAGAAUUUUCUAAUUCUUAUAUCUUUGCAACCUGAUGAUUCAACGUUUAAUACAUCUAUGUUUAAGGUUUGAGGCAAAUAAUUAGUUAAUCAUUUUUAUAAACCUUUGCGAUCUUAUAUUAACUAUUUCUAGGUCUUGUAAUUCAUUUCUAUACUCCAUUCUAGGAUUUCUAGUCCAUCUUAUAAAUUUUAUCAAAUAUAUAGACAAUUGAAAAAUGAAGUACAUAUUUGAAACAUAUUCAGAGUGUACUUAGUCACUGUAUUGUUUUGUACUUCAAAGUACAUAUUUGAAACAUAUUCAGAGUGUACUUACUCACUGUAUUGGUUUGUACUUUAAAGUACAUAUUUAAAAAUAUUCAGAGUGUACUUAGUCACUGUAUUGUUUUGUACUUCAAAGUACAUAUUGAAACAUAUUCAGAGUGUACUGAGUCACUGUAUUGUUUUAUACUUAAAGUACAUAUUUGAAACAUAUUUCAGA